CUGAUGGCACCAGAACCCCUGGAAAAACUGGGAUUUGGAGAUUUGAUAGAUGGAAAGUCAGAGACAAAAUCGGAACCGUGAUGGGAAGAAGCCCGCAGGGCUGUGUGGGGUUGUCCGAUGACCUGCCGCCCCAGCAGCUUGCUUGUAGGUACCGCGGCUCAGGAAGGGGCUUUGGUGAUGCCCGCGAGGUGCCACUCGAAAUAAAGACAGACACUCCUCCCUGAUCGAUGCGCCUCGUGGCUGGGAAAUGGCUCGUCUUCGGAAGCUCCCAAAAGGAUUCUGGAAAACCAUUGUCCCUUUUAGAUCCCAUUUUCCCCCAGGAGUGUUAGGUUUUAUCUUUAAGUUCAGGUGUGCGAUGGGGCUCCUGGGAAGGUGAGGUGCCGGAUGACGUCCGCCUAGUGAGUGGACACCGCAGGUUCCUUGUGAGAUGCUGGAUUCACAUCACGGGUUCUGCGUGUCUUUUCGGUGCAAAAGUGAUAAAUGUUCACGAAUUGUGGUCUGUUAUGUAGACAGAGAUUAUGAGGAAGACGUUUCCUAGCAAAUGAGUUUCUCUUUGUACUCAUAAAUAUACGUGCCUUUUCUUUCUUCUUUUCUUUCUUUGGAGGAUGAGCUUGGAAGUGGGAAGCAGCCUGGCUUUUGAUUCUUCUGACUUCCUGAUUGUUUUGCUGACGCACAAACACCACGCAUCUUUCUAGUCCAGGGGCAUUUUCUGAUUUGGAUCAGACGAUACUUGUUAAACUAGAUGGUUUAAUUUUAAGAACUCAUUUGCUGUAACUGAGAAACAGAACGUCCCCCCGUCGAUCGAUGUGCACGGUAGCCUCCAGUGCUUUUACUCCGAGGAAGCCCCCGAGACCGCAGCCAUCCCUGCUUCCCGGCCAAACGUGGUCGGGGCAGCGCGUUCCCGCUGAGAGCUGCCCAGGGUGCUGUCAGGACAGACCUCCUGGGGGUGCAGACCCCGCGAUGGCGUUUCUGGGGCGCCUUGUCGUCUGGGCUCAGAACCACAGCAGAGCCCCCGGACCUGCCCUGUGGACUGCCUUCCCUGGCCCCCCAGUCAGCUGGCUUUUGUCCCAGUGUGACCAGUGCUGGGAGAAUCCAGGUGUGUCCCCGCUGGUGGGGACAGCCGGCCCUGAUCCCCCCCUUCUUCUGCCUGGCGACCCAGGCCAGGCUCCGGGAAACCCUCGUGGUCUGCUCCUCGGCCGUGUCCAGUUCUCUGUGUUGACGUCCCUCUGCCUCGGUCCUACGGUGAUGGCCAUACUCGGUCAGGCCCUCCCUGCUGGUCCCUCUAAGGCUGGUCCCAUCUCCGCGGGGCUCCCCAGCACCAAGGGCUGCAUCUGUGGUUUGUCACUGUUCAGCGUCAGCUCUGUCUGUGCUUCUAAUUGUUCUGCAGCUUGUUUCCAUAUUUUUAGCUAGUUUAUGAAAAGCCGUGGUUUCUAUCAGCAAAGUGAGCCACGAAAAUAUUUUCUGUUUUCCAACAGUGCAGCGUCACACACACACAAGGUUAUUUAUCGCAGCAUUGUCUGCAAUUGGAAAGCAUUUAGAGACGGGGCCCUGGGCGGCCACAGGAAGGACUGAGGGAGAGAGAACGGAGCGCCCCGCGCUGCCCCAGGGGUGGCUCACCGUGAGCAGGCUCCGAGAGGGAACCAGGGCCCAGAGAACGUCGUGGUGAGAGAGAGAGAAGGAACCAGCACGACACCCGCGUGCCUGAGCAACAAGAAACUACGGAAGGCAAACUGGAAACCAGUGAGGAUGGUUGCUGACAGGUGUGGGGGUGGGAGGCAGCUCUCUGAGUGCUUCUGACUCGGAGCCAUGUUCUUGUUUUCCGUGCUCAAAAGAUAAACCGGGACGUGGGGGGGGCCACCGUGGGACAGCGGCAGUGACCCCGAGCCCAGCCGUGUCGCAAAUGCUGACUCUGCCCACGGCAGAGGGGCCGGCGGGACGGGACUUGUCCAGGUAGCUUUGGAAAAUAGUGUUUUGAUUAAAGCUAGAGACAAAAAGAUGAGAUUUGUGCCCUGGUUAGUAUGUUUGUUCUUCACAUGGACAGUGGUUUUGAGGCUGUGAAUUUUAAGGUGGAAAAAGCUGGAGCUGUGCUGUGGGUGAUGAGAGCCGGGGCUGUGGGAUCCUGGCUCUCGGACAUCUGCCAGGGCAGCGGGUAGGGAAGCAGACGUGUAAGUGUGUAUGCGUGCGCGCGUGUUCGUACGGACGUCCCCUCGCUCUGGGCACCAAGGGACCAGGGGCAGUGACCCCUGGCAGCACGGAUCUGAGCCUCUCUCCAGCAGGAGGACCCAGGGGCAGGAAAGUCCAGGUGAGCCUGGACCCUCUUGUGUCAGAAAGUAAGGAAUUGCUGGAACCAUGAUGGGCUUGUCGAGAGGACAUGCGCUGGAGCUCCCGUGGCCCGAUCGGGGACCAGUGGAGCAGAAGAAGGAAGGACUGUUGUGGGCUUUGGCAGCAGAAUCAGUUCCUACCCAGGAGCCGCCGUUGAUGGAAAUACUGAAUGGGGUAAACGUAUCAGUGCAGGAAGGGACACCCCUCCUCCGGGUCCCAACCCACAUGGCAGGAAGGAGCAUCGGUGGUCCUGAGCGCCUGCCCCGACCGAUGCCCUGAGAAGGCGGCAUUGCUUCUGCUGUUGUCUUGCCAGGAGUGCCUCACAUCAGUCUAAUGAGCCACGCAGACACACCUGACAUGAGGGACGGGCUGCAGAGUGAGGAACAGCGCUCCCCAGAAGGGCCGCGUCCUGGACAACAGAUGGAGGGGCUGCCCCGGGCCAAGGGUCCAGGGAGGCUAGGGCCACCAGGGAGCCCGAGGGCCCGCACGUCAGUCACAGCACUUCUUGUCCUGUGCUCGCAGAGGGUGUCGUCGGGAGAAGCAGGCAGACAGAACUGUGGCCUGUUUCUGUAACUUUCUGGAAGUCUGAAAUUAUUUUGGAAUCAUUUAAAAAAAUAUUUUGUGCUAA